AUUGAACGCUGGCGGCAUGCCUUACACAUGCAAGUCGAACGGCAGCACGGGUGCUUGCACCUGGUGGCGAGUGGCGAACGGGUGAGUAAUACAUCGGAACAUGUCCUGUAGUGGGGGAUAGCCCGGCGAAAGCCGGAUUAAUACCGCAUACGAUCUACGGACGAAAGCGGGGGACCUUCGGGCCUCGCGCUAUAGGGUUGGCCGAUGGCUGAUUAGCUAGUUGGUGGGGUAAAGGCCUACCAAGGCGACGAUCAGUAGCUGGUCUGAGAGGACGACCAGCCACACUGGGACUGAGACACGGCCCAGACUCCUACGGGAGGCAGCAGUGGGGAAUUUUGGACAAUGGGCGAAAGCCUGAUCCAGCAAUGCCGCGUGUGUGAAGAAGGCCUUCGGGUUGUAAAGCACUUUUGUCCGGAAAGAAAUCCUUGGCCCUAAUACGGUCGGGGGAUGACGGUACCGGAAGAAUAAGCACCGGCUAACUACGUG
rnacentral:rRNA from 1 species